rnacentral:rRNA from 1 species
UGCAGUCGAGCGAAUGGAUUAAGAGCUUGCUCUUAUGAAGUUAGCGGCGGACGGGUGAGUAACACGUGGGUAACCUGCCCAUAAGACUGGGAUAACUCCGGGAAACCGGGGCUAAUACCGGAUAACAUUUUGAACCGCAUGGUUCGAAAUUGAAAGGCGGCUUCGGCUGUCACUUAUGGAUGGACCCGCGUCGCAUUAGCUAGUUGGUGAGGUAACGGCUCACCAAGGCAACGAUGCGUAGCCGACCUGAGAGGGUGAUCGGCCACACUGGGACUGAGACACGGCCCAGACUCCUACGGGAGGCAGCAGUAGGGAAUCUUCCGCAAUGGACGAAAGUCUGACGGAGCAACGCCGCGUGAGUGAUGAAGGCUUUCGGGUCGUAAAACUCUGUUGUUAGGGAAGAACAAGUGCUAGUUGAAUAAGCUGGCACCUUGACGGUACCUAACCAGAAAGCCACGGCUAACUACGUGCCAGCAGCCGCGGUAAUACGUAGGUGGCAAGCGUUAUCCGGAAUUAUUGGGCGUAAAGCGCGCGCAGGUGGUUUCUUAAGUCUGAUGUGAAAGCCCACGGCUCAACCGUGGAGGGUCAUUGGAAACUGGGAGACUUGAGUGCAGAAGAGGAAAGUGGAAUUCCAUGUGUAGCGGUGAAAUGCGUAGAGAUAUGGAGGAACACCAGUGGCGAAGGCGACUUUCUGGUCUGUAACUGACACUGAGGCGCGAAAGCGUGGGGAGCAAACAGGAUU